rnacentral:tmRNA from 1 species
GUCAAGGUUUCGACAGGGGUCUUGCAGCUGGAGAAGCUAUCCGCAGGUGAUGCGUCAAAUCACAAACCUAAAUAUAAACGCUGAAGACAAUACUUUAGCUUACGCUGCUGCUUAAUGCGGCGUUGUCUGCCUUAGGGCACCUACACCUUAAGAUACAGGCAUCGACUAUGUAGGAAACGACACGGGCAAAGCUUUGAGCCCGCGGGCGUAAUAUGAAGCUACUGAAACCGCAGGGGUGUCAAUUCUCAUGCGGCGGAGGGAAUGAAAAAGAAUUGACUAUGAUAGUAGAAGGACAGGGAAUGGGCUUUUGGACACGGGUUCGACUCCCGUCUGGUCCA